rnacentral:rRNA from 1 species
AGGGAAUCUUCGGCAAUGGACGGAAGUCUGACCGAGCAACGCCGCGUGAGUGAAGAAGGUUUUCGGAUCGUAAAGCUCUGUUGUAAGAGAAGAACGAGUGUGAGAGUGGAAAGUUCACACUGUGACGGUAUCUUACCAGAAGGGACGGCUAACUACGUGCCAGCAGCCGCGGUAAUACGUAGGUCCCGAGCGUUGUCCGGAUUUAUUGGGCGUAAAGCGAGCGCAGGCGGUUAGAUAAGUCUGAAGUUAAAGGCUGUGGCUUAACCAUAGUACGCUUUGGAAACUGUUUAACUUGAGUGCAAGAGGGGAGAGUGGAAUUCCAUGUGUAGCGGUGAAAUGCGUAGAUAUAUGGAGGAACACCGGUGGCGAAAGCGGCUCUCUGGCUUGUAACUGACGCUGCGGCUCGAAAGCGUGGGGAGCAAACAGGAUUAGAUACCCUGGUAGUCCACGCCGUAAACGAUGAGUGCUAGGUGUUAGACCCUUUCCGGGGUUUAGUGCCGUAGCUAACGCAUUAAGCACUCCGCCUGGGGAGUACGACCGCAAGGUUG